rnacentral:rRNA from 1 species
UACGUAGGGUGCAAGCGUUGUCCGGAAUUAUUGGGCGUAAAGAGCUCGUAGGCGGUUUGUCGCGUCUGCCGUGAAAGUCCGGGGCUCAACUCCGGAUCUGCGGUGGGUACGGGCAAACUAGAGUGCGGUAGGGGAGAUUGGAAUUCCUGGUGUAGCGGUGGAAUGCGCAGAUAUCAGGAGGAACACCAAUGGCGAAGGCAGAUCUCUGGGCCGUAACUGACGCUGAGGAGCGAAAGCAUGGGGAGCGAACAGG